AGUAAGCCAGCAUAAAGGAGGCAGCAUGGCAAACAAUCAGUCUCUCACUAACAGACACUACGUACCUGGAUUGUGGAGUUACUCGCCUGUGGACAUACCAGAAAAUACUACAAACUUGGACAUUUGUAUAUGCACCGGUGGACAUUCUCACUUGCACAUUGGGACUUAUCAGCACAUAGGAUACUGUUUUAGGGAUUGUCAAAGAAGGUGGAGAAUUUCCAGAGAGAAAGACUGUAGUUUGGUGAAGAAGUGGCAUAAGAGCAUCACCAACCAUGUACUGGUCUGCCACUAGCUCUAAUUCAGGACCAGAGAAGGUAGCCAAAUGGACCUCUAUCAUCAACCACAUUCAAGACAUUCACACACAUUCUGACCCAGCGUUCCCUAGGUGUCAGUAAUAACAAAGGGUGUCUAAGGACCAUAGCAAGUGGUUUCAACCAGUUUCGACAGCACUGAAUAGGCUAUAUAAGGUCCUGAUAAACAAGAGUCCUUUCAGAUGUGGAGAAGCUGAGGCCACAUUACCAGACAUCAACUGUGGAGUCAUUUCACAAAGUCAUCUUGCACUUUGCACCCAAAAAUGUUGUCUUCCCCUUCAUCGGAAUGCUAUGCAGGUUGUACCUUGCAGAGAUGCACUUCAAUGAGAAUGCUGUCCGGCCACAAAUGACAGCUUCUCUUUCCAAAGGCCAAAAAGGGAGGACAUACCGUCAAACCAGUAAAGACAGAGCCAACAUUUUGCUAUGUCGUCAACUUGAUGAAUGGUGUUUUUGAAUAGGUUGUCCGUGAUCCACUUCCAUAUCUGGAUGCCAUACAGCAGAUUCCUGUGCCUCAGGACCUGUCUGCUCAGCAUGACAGACCUUCCAUGGAGAAAGCUGUUGCUGAGCAUGUGUUGCGUUUCAGUUGACACAAUAGUGUCACAUCAAUAAGUAUGUCAUUAUCGCAUAUUUCUUCGUUUUUAACAUAGAUCAGACAGUAUGGCUGUGCAAUGCACUGAACUCAAUGUAAUAUGGAUGUAACAGAGCCAAAUUCUACAACUGUGUGAGAUUGGCCUUACCUUUCCAUCCCUCUGAGUCUCACACGCUCAUGGUCAGCUCUAUAAACACUCAUUGCAUUUUGCAAAGAAUAUAUAUUUAAGCACACAGGUUCAAGGCCGGGAUGGUCUGUCAUGCAUGGCGUCUCAUAAGGAACUUGGCUUAUUCUUCUUCUGACCUGCAAAAGAAAAAAACAUAAUGGCACUGUUAUUUACAGUAAUCUUUCAUACUUUUGAAGUAGCAGAAAGCACACAUACGGGUUGAAUGAAUUUCUAUCCAGUGUAGUUGUGAAAUACCUGUGGUAUUUCCUUGCAACAUAUAUAUUUUCUCUCUCAAGGGCCAUGCGUGCACAAGUUCCACAUUAGGGACCAGAUGCCACACAGUCACACGCCCCGGGUUUGCGUGGAACUCGUCAGUCUGAUCUUCGUCAGAGGAUGUAGGGUUAGCUAAUACCUUUUAGUCGGUUGCCUACUGCUCACUCGUACAAAAGUGUAGUUUAUUUAGUCACUUCCUUACAACUUGCUAAAUCAGUGAUAGACAGAAAUCAAAAGGUCUUCAGAUGACAUGCCUACUGCUCCAUUCAUUCAUGAGCCUUUAGUUUAACCUAUUCUGAACACAGAUUUGUGGUAGCACCAGCCUCCUCUUAAUCUACUGGUCAUAAUGAUUUCAGGGGAUGGGGAUGAGUGAAGAGAGUUUGUGCAAGGCAGUGUCCUAUGCCAUUUCGUUGAGAUCUUCUCUCCAGAUGAGUUUUAUUGUUUUAUUUCAGGGUGUUUGAUCUCAGCUUUUGUCUUAGCAGGAAAAUCAAGUCUUACACAGCCCAUUUCAUUCUAGGGACAAAUCCUAGGGUUUUAAAUGGACAUGUAAAACCGUAUCUGUAGAAUUUUUGCCCUUAACUAUGCCACAUACCUUCUAUGUAGAUAUCAGAGAACAAUUUAAAAUAAUGUAUCAAUGCAUUCUAUGGCACCUUUAAAUUUUUCAAACUCGAAUGACUCAGGAACUCAAAUCCAAACUCGAAUGACUCAGGAAUACAAUGAAGAUACUUUAAUUCAUGAAGCCAACAUACUGCGGAGAAUCCACAGGGCACACCAAACAAUAACACAGACAACAUAACAGAACCUAGCCUUACGGUGACAUGGUACCCCUCAUGGAAUUUAUUAAAAUAUAUAUAUAUAUAUAUAUAUAUCACACACACACAUAUAUAAUAUAUACACACACAUAAUAUAUACAUAUACAUUAUAUAUAUAUAUAUCUGCAACAGUUAGUAUCCUCAAUUCCCAGACAUUUAAAAAGUGUAAUUAAAAGGAAAGGUGAUAUGACACAGUGUGAAACAUGUCUCUAUUUCAACUUUUUUGGAGUAUGUUGCAGCCAUCAAAAUCAAAAUUAGUUUAUAUUUACAAAAUACAAUUAAGUUGUACUUAGUUUUCUUUGUACUUUUGUCAGUAAUAAAGGUUAAAGAGAAUUAGUUUUUUUUCAACUGCUUACACACAAAAUCCUUACUUGUCUCACAAUUUUUUGAAACCUGACACUCAAACAGCAGAACCACACACCAAAUCUGCAAAACCAUACACUAAUUCUUGGCCUUUGUCUAAUUUUUCAAUUUCAUAAAACACUUUUUGCAAAACAUAACACGCAAUUCUCUAUGUAACACACAAAAAUCUAACAGGAAGUAUCUUGAUUUCCUUUUUCAAACACAACCAUUCAAAAUGCCACACUAAUUCAUCAGUGCCUCACACUAACUCCUCACAUGUGCAAACGCUCUUUGCUUUACUUAACACUAUCCAAUCAUGUCUUUAGAAUAGGCCUAUAAAUAGGCCAAAGGUCAAGUUAUAGGUUUUGAACAACUUUUCUGUUGUCUACUUGCUUCCAUAUUCAUAAUUUCUAAACCCUAUUGAGGAUUUUUUUCUCCACAUGGUGCUGGAAAGUGCAUGAUCGUCGUCCCUAUGUCAACAUAACACUUCUCCAGGCAAUGGAGGGGGCAUGUGGAGACACUGACGCUGCCUCCAUCCAAGGUUGGAUACGCAAGAGAGAACAUAGCAUGUGACGUGGAUGAAGUAUUGUGGCCGGAUCCAGCCAGGAGGAGAGAUGGAGCCUAGAUACACCCAACCAUCUCGCCCACCAACAAACGCACACACAAACGCUAUUUUAGAUUUUCAGAAAACAUCAUUCUGUAUGAUUUACGUAUAAGCUUGUUUCCUCAUAGGGACUUGCUGUAAAAAAUGUCCCCACAAACUCAAAAUGCACUGGUAUUACUAUACUUGUGGGGACAUUUGAUCCCCAGCAGGACACACAUACACACCAUUCCUUUGGAAUAUUCAUCUGUUUCAAAAUUAUGCUAGUUUUUUUGGUUGCUUUUUUUUUUUUUUUUUUUUUGUCCAGCUACACAUGGUUGAUGUAUUUAUUUUCUUUUGUACUGUGUAAUACUGUAUUCACAACCACAAAUGCUUACAGUAAAAAAAAAAAAAAAAAAAAAAAGUUGGUUUCAAUCUUGCUUUCAUGCUUACCAUGAAUUUUUCAGCAUCUCUCUGCCAAUUACUUUCAAUCUUACAGAAAUGAAAUGUACACAGGAGCUCAUGAAAGAAGAGCUUUAGGUUUUGAAUAACUGUUUGUAUAUGAUAUAUCCAAAAAUAGAAUAUUAUGGCAAAGGUGUUUGCAAAAUAAGACAAAUGUUUGCUUUUGAGAUGUGUUUGUGAUAUUUUGAAUGCAGUGCUUCAUUUUGCAAGAGAGGUGAGGCAUUUUGCGUGUAAUUCUUGGAUUUGUGUGUAAAGUUUUGAAAAAAAGAGACAAAGUUUUAAAAAUGUGUGUAAACAGUUGAAAAAAACUAACAAAUCACAGAUUCUUGAUUUUAUUGCAUUUUACAAAAUGUACCAACUUUUCUCGAAUUGGGCUGGUAUUCUCCUGUGCUCCUUUGUGUUUUUGUUUUGACUGAAUUGUUACUAAAUGUUACUGUUGCA